UAUCCCGUCUGCUCUGUGAAGUUAAGCACGCCUCAAGCUCGGG
rnacentral:rRNA from 1 species